CGACGAUCAAUAGCUGGUCUGAGAGGACGACCAGCCACACUGGAACUGAGACACGGUCCAGACUCCUACGGGAGGCAGCAGUGGGGAAUUUUGGACAAUGGGGGCAACCCUGAUCCAGCCAUGCCGCGUGCGGGAAGAAGGCCUUCGGGUUGUAAACCGCUUUUGUCAGGGACGAAAAGCUCCGGAAUAAUAUGCCGGAGUGCUGACGGUACCUGAAGAAUAAGCACCGGCUAACUACGUGCCAGCAGCCGCGGUAAUACGUAGGGUGCGAGCGUUAAUCGGAAUUACUGGGCGUAAAGCGUGCGCAGGCGGUUGGGUAAGACAGAUGUGAAAUCCCCGGGCUUAACCUGGGAACUGCAUUUGUGACUGUCCGACUGGAGUACGUCAGAGGGGGGUGGAAUUCCACGUGUAGCAGUGAAAUGCGUAGAUAUGUGGAAGAACACCGAUGGCGAAGGCAGCCCCCUGGGACGCAACUGACGCUCAUGCACGAAAGCGUGGGGAGCAAACAGGAUUAGAUACCCUGGUAGUCCACGCCCUAAACGAUGUCUGCUGGUUGUUGGGAAUUUAAUUCUCAGUAACGAAGCCAACGCGUGAAGCAGACCGCCUGGGG
rnacentral:rRNA from 1 species